GGCCUCCCAAUUCUUACCACAGUGUUCUUUACACUGACUAUAUAAAAAGAGGAGGUACAGUAAAUGCACCCCAUAUACACCUCAACACAAGUUCUAUGCCUGGUCUGUACUGUGAAUUGGGGGACAGAA